GCCGGAGUGGUGGAAUUGGCAGACGCGGCGGACUCAAAAUCCGCAGAGACUUAGUCUCGUGGGGGUUCAAGUCCCCCCUCCGGCACCA
rnacentral:tRNA from 1 species